rnacentral:rRNA from 1 species
GUGCACUUUUCCAGUUCAGGCCAGCAUCAGUUUUCCCCGGGGGAUAAAGGCGGCGGGAAUGUGGCUCUCUUCGGGGAGUGUUAUAGCCCG